rnacentral:rRNA from 1 species
GACGGGGGGGGGGCAAGUGUUCUUCGGAAUCACUGGGCGUAAAGCGCACGUAGGCGGAUUCUUAAGUCAGGGGUGAAAUCCUGGAGCUCAACUCCAGAACUGCCUUUGAUACUGAGGGUCUUGAGUUCGGGAGAGGUGAGUGGAACUGCGAGUGUAGAGGUGAAAUUCGUAGAUAUUCGCAAGAACACCAGUGGCGAAGGCGGCUCACUGGCCCGAUACUGACGCUGAGGUGCGAAAGCGUGGGGAGCAAACAGG